UUAAAUUGAAGAGUUUGAUCAUGGCUCAGAUUGAACGCUGGCGGCAGGCCUAACACAUGCAAGUCGAACGGUAACAGGAAUCAGCUUGCUGAUUUGCUGACGAGUGGCGGACGGGUGAGUAAUG
rnacentral:rRNA from 1 species